GCGUAGGAACUUACCCAGUAGUUGGGAGUAGCCCGGACGAAAUACCGGAUUAAUACCGAAUAAUCUCUACGGAGGAAAGUAGGGCUUCGGCUCACGCUACUGGAUGGGCCUGCGUAAGAUUAGCUAGUUGGUGUGGUAAAGGCGCACCAAGGCGACGAUCUUUAGCUGGUCUGAGAGGAUGAUCAGCCACACUGGGACUGAGACACGGCCCAGACUCCUACGGGAGGCAGCAGUGGGGAAUAUUGCACAAUGGGCGCAAGCCUGAUGCAGCCAUGCCGCGUGUGUGAAGAAGGCUUUCGG
rnacentral:rRNA from 1 species